CACGUAGGGUGCGAGCGUUGUCCGGAAUUAUUGGGCGUAAAGAGCUCGUAGGCGGUCUGUCGCGUCUGCUGUGAAAACUCGGGGCUUAACCCCGGGCCUGCAGUGGGUACGGGCAGACUAGAGUGCGGUAGGGGAGACUGGAAUUCCUGGUGUAGCGGUGAAAUGCGCAGAUAUCAGGAGGAACACCGGUGGCGAAGGCGGGUCUCUGGGCAACAACUGACGCUGAGGAGCGAAAGCGUGGGGAGCGAACAGG
rnacentral:rRNA from 1 species